rnacentral:rRNA from 1 species
AACGAACGCUGGCGGCAUGCCUAACACAUGCAAGUCGAACGAGACCUUCGGGUCUAGUGGCGCACGGGUGCGUAACGCGUGGGAAUCUGCCCUUCGGUUGGGAAUAACUGAGAGAAAUUUCAGCUAAUACCUUAUAAUGUCUUCGGACCAAAGAUUUAUCGCCGAGGGAUGAGCCCGCGUAGGAUUAGGUAGUUGGUGGGGUAAUGGCCUACCAAGCCGACGAUCCUUAGCUGGUCUGAGAGGAUGAUCAGCCACACUGGGACUGAGACACGGCCCAGAAUCCUACGGGAGGGAGCAGUGGGGAAUAUUGGACAAUGGGCGAAAGCCUGAUCCAGCAAUGCCGCGUGAGUGAUGAAGGCCUUAGGGUUGUAAAGCUCUUUUACCCGGGAUGAUAAUGACAGUACCGGGAGAAUAAGCUCCGGCUAACUCCGUG